rnacentral:rRNA from 1 species
GACGAACGCUGGCGGCGUGCCUAAUACAUGCAAGUUGAGCGCUGAAGGUUGGUACUUGUACCAAAUGGAUGAGCAGCGAACGGGUGAGUAACGCGUGGGGAAUCUGCCUUUGAGCGGGGGACAACAUUUGGAAACGAAUGCUAAUACCGCAUAAAAACUUUAAACACAAGUUUUAAGUUUGAAAGAUGCAAUUGCAUCACUCAAAGAUGAUCCCGCGUUGUAUUAGCUAGUUGGUGAGGUAAAGGCUCACCAAGGCGAUGAUACAUAGCCGACCUGAGAGGGUGAGCGGCCACAUUGGGACUGAGACACGACCCAAACUCCUACGGGAGGCAGCAGUAGGGAAUCUUCGGCAAUGGACGAAAGUCUGACCGAGCAACGCCGCGUGAGUGAAGAAGGUUUUCGGAUCGUAAAACUCUGUUGGUAGAGAAGAACGUUGGUGAGAGUGGAAAGCUCAUCAAGUGACGGUAACUACCCAGAAAGGGACGGCUAACUACGUG